AAAGUCGUAACAAGGUUUCCGUAGGUGAACCUGCGGAAGGAUCAUUAACACGUAUCCAACGUUAAACAACCCUGUGAACCUUGAACGCACACGCUCUAGCAGCAAUCCCUGGUAAAUCAUUGUUGACCAGCUAUUGAGUCAGGGACCUCUGCUUUAAAACGAUGCGAUACGGUAAGUGCGGCCUGGCAUCCUAGCAAUCUGUCAGUGGUUGCGCAAGGAUGGCGCAGUAAACGAUCGCUGUAGGCCCACACGGCCGGCGACCGGGCCUCUGUGCUUCGGCACCUAACGACCCCAUGUUUCGUACCCGGUGCGCUGUAACAACCGCACCACAAACUCGAACAACUGUUAACAAUGGAUAUCUUGGUUCUC
rnacentral:misc_RNA from 1 species